UACGUAGGUGGCAAGCGUUGUCCGGAUUUAUUGGGUUUAAAGGGUGCGUAGGCGGCCCUGUAAGUCAGUGCUGAAAUAUCCCAGCUUAACUGGGAGGGUGGCAUUGAUACUGCGGGGCUAGAGUACAGAUGAGGUAGGUGGAAUUGACGGUGUAGCGGUGAAAUGCUUAGAUAUCGUCAAGAACACCUACAGCGAAGGCAGCUUACUAGGCUGUAACUGACGCUGAGGCACGAAAGUGUGGGGAUCAAACAGG
rnacentral:rRNA from 1 species